rnacentral:rRNA from 1 species
UACGUAGGGAGCAAGCGUUAUCCGGAUUUAUUGGGUGUAAAGGGUGCGUAGACGGAGAGGCAAGUUAGUUGUGAAAUCCCUCGGCUUAACUGAGGAACUGCAACUAAAACUACUUCCCUUGAGUACUGGAGAGGAAAGUGGAAUUCCUAGUGUAGCGGUGAAAUGCGUAGAUAUUAGGAGGAACACCAGUGGCGAAGGCGACUUUCUGGACAGUAACUGACGUUGAGGCACGAAAGUGUGGGGAGCAAACAGG